rnacentral:rRNA from 1 species
GACGAACGCUGGCGGCGUGCUUAACACAUGCAAGUCGAACGGUGAAGCGCCUUCCUUUUUGGUGGGUGUGGAUGAGUGGCGAACGGGUGAGUAACACGUGAGUAACCUGCCCCCUUCUUCUGGAUAACCGCAUGAAAGUGUGGCUAAUACGGGAUAUUCUGGGUCUGUCGCAUGAUGGGUCUGGGAAAGAUAUUGUUUCGGUGGGGGAUGGGCUCGCGGCCUAUCAGCUUGUUGGUGGGGUGAUGGCCUACCAAGGCGGUGACGGGUAGCCGGCCUGAGAGGGUGGACGGUCACACUGGGACUGAGACACGGCCCAGACUCCUACGGGAGGCAGCAGUGGGGAAUAUUGCACAAUGGGCGCAAGCCUGAUGCAGCGACGCCGCGUGAGGGAUGGAGGCCUUCGGGUUGUGAACCUCUUUCGCCAGUGAAGCAGGCCUGCCUCGUUUGUGGGUGGGUUGACGGUAGCUGGAUAAGAAGCGCCGGCUAACUA